AACACGUUUCAAUCCUGCAUCUAAGGGUUUCAGCCAAAUCGCCUAUCUUUCUACGCCCGUUCCAUUCUCAUUCAAUGCCAUUAUCAGUUUCUUCAACUCAACCGUUCCUCAUUCAAUGCAAUCAUCAGAUUCUUGAAUUCAAUAGCCCUGUCUGUUUGCAUAAGUCCUCCUGAUGGUGUUCGGAUGAUGGCGGUGGUAGGUUGUGGACAAAGCGAAGCCCCAACAACGAUGGCUUUAGGGUUCUGUCGCAAGUCAGUCAAGGGGUUAUUAGGAUUUGGGCAGAUGAAUCUUGUGGUAGACGAUCCUUCUUGAUUAUGUUGUUUGUGGCGAUGGAAGUGGUAGGUAGUGAAAAAUCGAAGCCUCAACAGCGGCGGCUUUAGGGUUCCUUCAUAAGUCAGUCGGGGGCGGUUAGGAUUCCGGCAGAGGAAUCCUCAGAUGGUGAAGUUGAGGUUUGGUAGUGACUAUGGUGGUGAUUACAGUUGUGUACAUUGAAGACACCUAUUGAUGAAAGUGUAAAUUGAAGAGGCCGACUGAUGAUUGAAACGAUGGCAACAAUUAUUAAUAUAAUCAAUUAGGUUUGAUGAUUGAAAUCAACUCACGAAUCAUCAUCCCAAAUUGAAUGAAAUCGCCCAUGAAUUCGGCCUCUGGUUAUUCUUUUAUUGACUCACAUCGGUCCAAUUGCAGAGGUAACAUCGGGGAUGGAAGUAGGGUUAAAACCCUGGAAAUGACGACGAUUUAAGAGGUACUUCUCUUGGUGUAAUGUUCUUGAAUCAUGUUUCUGUUAUUGAUUUUGAAACGAAUUUAUUGGAUAUAAUCUCUGAUAUUAAUAUCAUGUUUGUGGUUGUGGUGCAAUUGAAGUCAUGGUUUCAACUUUU